rnacentral:rRNA from 1 species
AUUGAACGCUGGCGGCAGGCCUAACACAUGCAAGUCGAGCGGAUGACGGGAGCUUGCUCCUUGAUUCAGCGGCGGACGGGUGAGUAAUGCCUAGGAAUCUGCCUGGUAGUGGGGGACAACGUUUCGAAAGGAACGCUAAUACCGCAUACGUCCUACGGGAGAAAGCAGGGGACCUUCGGGCCUUGCGCUAUCAGAUGAGCCUAGGUCGGAUUAGCUAGUUGGUGAGGUAAUGGCUCACCAAGGCGACGAUCCGUAACUGGUCUGAGAGGAUGGUCAGUCACACUGGAACUGAGACACGGUCCAGACUCCUACGGGAGGCAGCAGUGGGGAAUAUUGGACAAUGGGCGAAAGCCUGAUCCAGCCAUGCCGCGUGUGUGAAGAAGGUCUUCGGAUUGUAAAGCACUUUAAGUUGGGAGGAAGGGCAGUAAGUUAAUACCUUGCUGUCUUGACGUUACCGACAGAAUAAGCACCGGCUAACUACGUACCAGCCGCCGCCGUAAUAC